UACGUAGGUGGCAAGCGUUGUCCGGAUUUACUGGGCGUAAAGAGCGCGCAGGCGGUCGUGCAAGUCGCGUGUGAAAGCCCCCGGCUCAACUGGGGAGGGUCACGCGAUACUGCUCGACUCGAAGGCAGGAGAGGGAAGUGGAAUUCCCGGUGUAGUGGUGAAAUGCGUAGAUAUCGGGGAGGAACACCAGUGGCGAAGGCGACUACCUGGCCUGUUUCUUGACGCUGAGGCGCGAAAGCUAGGGGAGCAACGGG
rnacentral:rRNA from 1 species